CCAAUAGCGUAUAUUAAAGUUGCUGCAGUUAAAAAGCUCGUAGUUGAAUUUCGGGACCAUCAUGUCGGUCGUGCCUCGGUACGUACUGGCAUUGUUGGUUUCUCCCUUCUGACGAACCAUGAUGUCAUUUAUUUGGUGUUGUGGGGAAUCAGGACUGUUACUUUGAAAAAAUUAGAGUGUUUAAAGCAGGCUCACGCUUGAAUACAUUAGCAUGGAAUAAUGAAAUAGGACGUUUGAUUCUAUUUUGUUGGUUUCUAGGAUCGACGUAAUGAUUAAUAGGGAUAGUUGGGGGCAUUAGUAUUCAAUUGCCAGAGGUGAAAUUCUUGGAUUUAUUGAAGACUAACUACUGCGAAAGCAUUUGCCAAGGAUGUUUUCAUUAAUCAGGAACGAAAGUUAGGGGAUCGAAGACGAUCAGAUACCGUCGUAGUCUUAACCAUAAACUAUGCCAACUAGGGAUCGGAUGAUGUUAAUUUUUUAAUGACUCAUUCGGCGCCUUACG
rnacentral:rRNA from 1 species